rnacentral:rRNA from 1 species
CUAUACAUGCAGUCGAACGAGAUUAAGGGGCUUGCUCCUUAUGAAAGUGGCGCACGGGUGCGUAACGCGUAUGCAACCUACCUCAAUCAGGGGGAUAGCCCGAAGAAAUUCGGAUUAACACCGCAUAAAAACACAGGAUAGCAUUAUCUAAUGUUCAAAUAUUUAUAGGAUUGAGAUGGGCAUGCGUGUCAUUAGCUAGUUGGCGGGGUAACGGCCCACCAAGGCGACGAUGACUAGGGGAUCUGAGAGGAUGACCCCCCACACUGGUACUGAGACACGGACCAGACUCCUACGGGAGGCAGCAGUAAGGAAUAUUGGUCAAUGGAGGCAACUCUGAACCAGCCAUGCCGCGUGCAGGAAGACAGCCCUCUGGGUCGUAAACUGCUUUUAUUCGGGAAUAAACCUUAUUACGUGUAAUAAGCUGAAUGUACCGAAGGAAUAAGGAUCGGCUAACUCCGUGCCAGCAGCCGCGGUAAUACGGAGGAUCCAAGCGUUAUCCGGAUUUAUUGGGUUUAAAGGGUGCGUAGGCGGCUUAUUAAGUCAGGGGUGAAAGACGGUGGCUCAACCAUCGCAGUGCCUUUGAUACUGAUGAGCUUGAAUGAACUAGAGGUAGGCGGAAUGUGACAAGUAGCGGUGAAAUGCAUAGAUAUGUCACAGAACACCGAUUGCGAAGGCAGCUUACUAUGGUUUUAUUGACGCUGAGGCACGAAAGCGUGGGGAUCAAACAGGAUUAGAUACCCUGGUAGUCCACGCCCUAAACGAUGAAUACUCGCUGUUAGCGAUAUACAGUUAGCGGCUAAGCGAAAGCGUUAAGUAUUCCACCUGGGGAGUACGCCCGCAAGGGUGAAACUCAAAGGAAUUGACGGGGGCCCGCACAAGCGGAGGAGCAUGUGGUUUAAUUCGAUGAUACGCGAGGAACCUUACCCGGGCUUGAAAGUUAGUGAAUUAUCUAGAGAUAGAUAAGUGAGCAAUCACACGAAACUAGUGCUGCAUGGCUGUCGUCAGCUCGUGCCGUGAGUGU